CGCCCUGUUGAUCAAAAACAUCGCCUCUUGUAAACUAAAGAUAAGAGGUACCGCCUGCCCUGUGACAUAACGUUUAACGGCCGCGGUAUUUUGACCGUGCAAAGGUAGCGCAAUCACUUGCCUUUUAAAUGAAGGCCUGUAUGAAUGGCAAGACGAGGGCUCAACUGUCUCUUUCUCCUCAUCAGUGAAAUUGAUCUUCCCGUGCAGAAGCGGGAAUAUUACCAUAAGACGAGAAGACCCUGUGGAGCUUUAGACCUCAGACAGUCCAUAAAAAGGGGGAUAAAUAAAGACCUCAAACUAAUUGGAAACUGUCCUACUGUCUUUGGUUGGGGCGACCGCGGGGUAACAAAAAACCCCCACGUGGAUUAAGAAUAUAAUUCCUAAAUCUAAGAGUUACAACUCUAGGAAACAGAAUUUCUGACCUUAAGUGAUCCGGACUUCCGAUCAACGAACCUAGUUACCCCAGGGAUAACAGCGCAAUCCUCUUUUAGAGUCCAUAUCGACAAGGGGGUUUACGACCUCGAUGUUGGAUCAGGACAUCCUAAUGGUGCAGCCGCUAUUAAGGGUUAGGUUCAACAAUUAAAGUCCUACUUGAUCUGAGUUCAGACCGG
rnacentral:rRNA from 1 species